rnacentral:tRNA from 1 species
GAGGAUAUAGUUCAGUGGUACAGUGCAUGCUUAGCAUGCACAAGGUCCUGGGUUCAACCCCCAGUACCUCCA